rnacentral:lncRNA from 1 species
AUUGUAUUGUCCUUUAUCAUUGUCUGUCAUUUAUCUGAUGCAGUGGUCUUCAGUAAAACAGUCAAGUUCUUAUUGAUUAUGCAGACCCAGGUGUUUGAUUUGAUGAACACAUAUGACAGUGUCAUGUCUUUUUCUCAGGGUUUCACACACUUACACACCACCAACAUGCUGAUGUCUCAACACAAGUAUAUCCUACAGAGUGAUGAUGUGCUUUCAGAACUACCACCAGUAGCAUGUGUGGUAAAUGUGUCUAUUACGCUAUUAAUUCUCAGAACCAUAACCAACCAUAGGAGGAACAGGAGGGGCUGAACUCCAUCACACACAAACAUUACAUAGAUGCAUUUAGAGGAAACACACACAGAAGGAAGACUGACACUGAGCCUAGAGUCACGUUCAGUUUCCAGCUCCUUACACACACACAGAAGACAGAGAAAAAGAGGAGAGGAGUGGACAGGAGAGGAAGAUGGCAUACAUCCCCUGUGCUCUGAUAGUGUUGCUGAUCUGCCUGAGUCAGGACCACAUGGGUGUCCAAGGAGAGACUCCCACUGUCUUCUCCAGUGUGGGUGGGGAUGCCACUCUUCCCUGCAGUAAUGUGGGUUAUCCAAACUGCUCUUCUACUACAUGGCUUGUUCGUAUAUCUGGACAAACUCUAGAAUUGUUUGCCAAUGGAAAGAUCAGACCUGAUGUAGCCACACACAGAGCUAAGAGACUGAGUCUGGUCUCUAACUGUUCUCUCCACAUUACUGAUGUCACCAAUGAGGAUGCUGGACUCUACACCUGUCAGCAGUACCUGAGAGAGGGUGGACCCAAACAUGGAGAGGAUGCUCCUGUCCAUCUGUCUGUUCUUCAGGGUAGGUGUUAUUGUUGUUGUUUUAUUUGUUGUUAUUUUCAGGCACUCAGGGGCUCAGUAACUGAAGUCAAAUGGAUACGUUGGAUAUAUUAAGUCUGUAUUAUAAUGUAUCCUUCAGUUUUUAACUGUUUUGUUUAAGGUUUUGUAUGUAACCUAUUCUUAAUGACAUACUCAAAUUCAUUUUCAUCUUAUAUGGUCAUGUGAAAG